GCUUUUCUUUUUAUGAAAUUAACUUGUGUAUAAUACUUACAGAAAAUUUAGCUUGUGCAAAAUUGGACACCAAACACGGAAAUAUGUACAACAACAUAAAAGUUAACAUGGAUGGGGCGACGGAGAAACGUAAUAUUCCGGAUUAUGACAAUAUCUCCGUAGAUUCCACGAGUUCCGAUGAUUCAAUAGAAUUUCAAAAACGACAAAAUAGAGACUUGUAUCAGGAUUGAUGAUAAACUGAGAGCUAGACACAACGCAAAGUAGAUCAGACAACGAAAGUGCAAGAAAAGAUAUUUAUGAUAACGUUAAUUCAAAACCAGACCUUAUUCAAGAAAAUGGCUUCAUAUAUGACGUACCAAGAGUAACGUAUGACAAUUUGAAUUCAAAAAGUGACGUCACAAACGGAAAUGACGUCCUAUAUGACAAGCCUAGGAAAGUGCUACCUGGGAUACCGAACACAGAAGAUGCUAUCCAAUCAGAAUUGGACGAUAUCGCCGACACUCAUUACGAUUUGGCGGACACAGAGUCACAUGACGUGAGAAAUGGUCUCUCCGACCAUGACGUCACUGUAUUAUUGGACGAAAUAGCCGAUCUCUCAUGAGCUUUUCACAGACAUCACAGACAUGAUAUUUAUACUUCUAACUACAUACCUGUUCAUGCUUGUGUAUAAAGAACAUUUUUAUAUAAAAAUGACAUAUUUCUUUUGUUAAGAAGCAGUAUUGUUUUGAACAUGUUUUGGAGAAAAUAUAUUGACAUCAAUUGCCUUCUGCCUGAUUUAAGUUUGAAAAUUAAUGUGAGUUUGGUAUACGUCUUUAUAAGGUUGUUUUAAUUUCUUUCAGAUCCUUUUUAUCGUUAUUUAUACAAAAUAUAUAUAUUAUAAGUGAGUUAUUCAAAUCUGAAUAUUAUUGAUCACAUAAAAAUGAUUGUACUUUAUUUGCAUUAUAUAUUUUUAUUGUUUAUGCUCAAAUUUUACUUAUGCAUAUCAAUGUUUCAAGGGAUUUAUUUUUUAAAGUUUCCAUAAUUUUUAUAUUUCUAGUGAUGUUGUAGAGCUGAUGAGUUAUUUUUGAUAGAGAUAUGCAGUUUAGAAUUGAAGUGAAAUUUAUAAGCAGUUUUAAAAUCACGAUUAAAUCUGCUUGUUUGAUAAAAAAAAAACAAAAAACCUGUCAGAUGAAGUUACCGGGUUCCAUUCCAUGUAUUUGUACAAACAUCAUAUUAUGCAUUGUGUCCCAUGUUAUUCAUGUUUUACAUCCAAAUUGUAUUAUAUUUUUAAUUUUACUACUAAUGGGUUCCCCUAUUUAUUAUGUACAUUUGUAUAUAGAAAUCUAACUAUGAAUCAGUAGGAAUCACGUGUCUUGUUCCCGUGAGAUUUAUGUCACGUGUUUUAUUCCCGUGAGAUUUAUGUCACGUGUUUUGUUCCCGUGAGAUUUAUGUCACGUGUUUUGUUCCCGUGAGAUUUAUGUCACGUGUCUUGUUCCCAUGAGAUUUAUGUCACGUGUUUUGUUCCCGUGAGAUUUAUGUCACGUGUUUUGUUUCCGUGAGAUUUAUGUCUACAUUUAUCUUCAUUUGUCUCAUUUCAUCAAGCAUAAUAUAAGCUCAUCUCUGUUUCACUGAUGUAUUGUACAUAUUGUUGUUAUUGAUCUUUACGCAUGCUCAGUUAUACAUUUCAUGAUGAAAACAUCAAUCACAUUAACAUUUAAUUCAUGUUUCCAAUAAGUUGAUUACUUUAUUGUUAACACGUUCUUUUCGCAAUAAAUUAUUUUUAUUUACUUUUA